UUGGAUGUUGAGUGCUGCUGGACUUGUCGUUCAGCUCACUUUAAAUUUAUGAGCAGGCUCCUAUCUUUUCGGACUGACUCAACGUGAUAAGAAAUUUCGUUGAGGAUGCUUCAUAGCAGCCGAAUGUUAGGGAAAUGCCGCUACUAGUUGCCCUUUAUAUUUUAGACCUCAAAUCAGGUGGGACUACCCGCUGAACUUAA
rnacentral:misc_RNA from 1 species